CUGAUUAGCUUUAUCACUUUCAACCCUACGACCCUCUUACAUCCCCUCCAUCCGUGUGGUAGUCGCUGCCACGCACAAGUCAUCGUACCAUAAUACACAACCGUGCCGCCAUGUUCAACACGAAACCCAUUGAUAGUUGCCGUCAUCCUUCCGGUUAGUGGUUACCGCCGCUCACCAUCGCACUCCGCCACAAACCACCGGCCGCUGCCAUAAUCUUUGAAUAGUUUAUGUUCGACUCCGGAGGCCCUCAUGUUCGUUCGUUAUGGACUACUUGAUCUGUUUUGCUUUUGCUUUGCAUGGCUAAACUAAGGUAAUAUGGGAUGAUCUGGGAUUUCAGUGAGGAGCGUUAGGAAGUUGCCGGCCAAGAUUCUUUAUUUCAGUAACGUAAUAAAUGUAUUUAGGAUCUUUCAUUUAAUGAUAUGGAUUAGUUUUUAGUUUUGAUAUCUGUAAGAGUGACACGUCAGCCCUAGCGGGGUUGGGGUGUUACAGUCUUAGAUCUUCCUAUCUUCAUAGUUAGGUUUUUAAGAAGUACUUUACAACUCGAUGGUUGGUUUUGUGUAGAUGGUUGGUGAUUCAGAUAACGAAACUAGAUAAUACAAUAAUCACAUGGUGGAUACGCCGUUGGUACUUCCUAUAUAUAAGUGUGCUUAUUGUAUUACCUUUCGUGGCGUUAUCCCGAAUCACCAUUAGGAUUUAGGAUUGUUUUGGUUCAAUGUAACAGAAACCGAAUCCUUAUAGCAUCUAUCUAUCUUCAUGGAUUAA